rnacentral:lncRNA from 1 species
CUAGGGUUUCUUUCUUUUUCUCCAAUCCAAAUCCCCCCUUUUUCACAAUAGAUUCCUCCCUUAAAUACUCUCUCUCUCUUCUCUUUUAGAAUUCUAUUUAAAAUAAAAUACUAAUAUCUGAAAUAUUAAAUUCGUAAUUACAAAAAUAACCAAAAAUACAAAACACGUUAAACUAAAAACUGCAGGUCCGUAGUUGACAGCACGCGCCCACGCCUUAUCAACAAAGUUCUUCUAACGCUCAUAAUUUCUCCAAGAGAACAAUCAUCCUUAAACAUCAUCUUGUAACUCAAUUUUAUCACCAAUCAAUAGAAUUGCACCUACAAAAGUAAAACACAAGUAAAUCACUAUUAUUAAGUGCAAAACAUCGAUAUUAAGGGAAGUAAACAAUGCAAAACUAGUGCAUAAAUUGCACUCUAA